CCUACGGGGGGCUGCAGUAAGGAAUAUUGGUCAAUGGACGCAAGUCUGAACCAGCCAUGCCGCGUGGAGGAUGAAGGUCCUCUGGAUUGUAAACUUCUUUUAUUUGGGAAGAAACCCACGAUUUCUAUUGUGGUUGACGGUACCAGAUGAAUAAGCACCGGCUAACUCCGUGCCAGCAGCCGCGGUAAUACGGAGGGUGCAAGCGUUAUCCGGAUUCACUGGGUUUAAAGGGUGCGUAGGCGGGCAGGUAAGUCAGUGGUGAAAUCUCCGAGCUUAACUUGGAAACUGCCGUUGAUACUAUCUGUCUUGAAUGCUGUGGAGGUAAGCGGAAUAUGUCAUGUAGCGGUGAAAUGCUUAGAUAUGACAUAGAACACCUAUUGCGAAGGCAGCUUGCUACACAGAAAUUGACGCUGAGGCACGAAAGCGUGGGGAUCAAACAGGAUUAGAUACCCCAGUAGUC
rnacentral:rRNA from 1 species